rnacentral:rRNA from 1 species
GUGGCUGGGGGGGAAAGGCCAAUCAAACCGGGAGAUAGCUGGUUCUCCCCGAAAUCUAUUUAGGUAGAGCCUUGAGCGGACACCUUCGGGGGUAGAGCACUGUUUCGGCUAGGGGUCCAUCCCGGAUUACCAACCCGAUGCAAACUACGAAUACCGAAGAGUGAUACUCAGGAGACACACGGCGGGUGCUAACGUCCGUCGUGGAGAGGGAAACAACCCAGACCGCCAGCUAAGGUCCCAAAGUCUAUAUUAAGUGGGAAACGAAGUGGGAAGGCUUAGACAGCUAGGAUGUUGGCUUAGAAGCAGCCAUCAUUUAAAGAAAGCGUAAUAGCUCACUAGUCGAGUCGGCCUGCGCGGAAGAUGUAACGGGGCUCAAAUAUAGCACCGAAGCUGCGGCAUCAGACGUAAGUCUGUUGGGUAGGGGAGCGUUGUGUAAGCGGAUGAAGGUGUGUUGAGAAGCAUGCUGGACGUAUCACAAGUGCGAAUGCUGACAUAAGUAACGAUAAAACGGGUGAAAAACCCGUUCGCCGGAAGACCAAGGGUUCCUGUCCAACGUUAAUCGGGGCAGGGUGAGUCGGCCCCUAAGGCGAGGCUGAAGAGCGUAGUCGAUGGGAAACAGGUUAAUAUUCCUGUACUUGGUAAAGCUGCGAUGUGGGGACGGAGUAGGUUAGGUUAUCGCACUGUUGGAUAUGUGCGUUUAAGUUGGUAGGUGGGAAGUUUAGGCAAAUCCGGACUUCCUUAACACUGAGAGAUGAUGACGAGGCUCUACGGAGUUGAAGUAACUGAUACCACACUUCCAGGAAAAGCCACUAAGCGAAAGGCUUUACUAAACCGUACUGAAAACCGACACAGGUGGUCAGGUAGAGAAUACUCAGGCGCUUGAGAGAACUCGGGUGAAGGAACUAGGCAAAAUAGCACCGUAACUUCGGGAGAAGGUGCGCCGGCGUAGAUUGUAGUCCCUCGCGGGCGAAGGUUGAACCGGUCGAAGAUACCAGCUGGCUGCAACUGUUUAUUAAAAACACAGCACUCUGCAAACACGAAAGUGGACGUAUAGGGUGUGAUGCCUGCCCGGUGCUGGAAGGUUAAUUGAUGGUGUAAUCGAAAGAGAAGCUCCUGAUCGAAGCCCCAGUAAACGGCGGCCGUAACUAUAACGGUCCUAAGGUAGCGAAAUUCCUUGUCGGGUAAGUUCCGACCUGCACGAAUGGCAUAAUGAUGGCCAGGCUGUCUCCACCCGAGACUCAGUGAAAUUGAAAUCGCCGUGAAGAUGCGGUGUACCCGCGGCUAGACGGAAAGACCCCGUGAACCUUUACUAUAGCUUGACACUGAACAUUGAAUUUUGAUGUGUAGGAUAGGUGGGAGACUUAGAAGUAGUCACGCCAGUGAUUAUGGAGUCGUCCUUGAAAUACCACCCUUUAACGUUUGAUGUUCUAACGAAGAUUACGAAACGUGGUCUCGGACAGUGUCUGGUGGGUAGUUUGACUGGGGCGGUCUCCUCCCAAAGAGUAACGGAGGAGCACGAAGGUUUGCUAAUGACGGUCGGACAUCGUCAGGUUAGUGCAAUGGUAUAAGCAAGCUUAACUGCGAGACAGACAAGUCGAGCAGGUACGAAAGUAGGUCAUAGUGAUCCGGUGGUUCUGAAUGGAAGGGCCAUCGCUCAACGGAUAAA